rnacentral:rRNA from 1 species
GACGAACGCUGGCGGCGCGCCUAACACAUGCAAGUCGAACGAGGUUGAGAGGAGCUUGCUUUUCUUGACUUAGUGGCGAACGGGUGAGUAACGCGUGAGGAACCUGCCUCAAAGAGGGGGACAACAGCUGGAAACGACUGCUAAUACCGCAUAAGCCCAUAGCUCCGCAUGGAGCAGAGGGAAAAGGAGUGAUCCGCUUUGAGAUGGAUCCGCGUCUGAUUAGCCAGUUGGCGGGGUAACGGCCCACCAAAGCGACGAUCAGUAGCCGGCCUGAGAGGGUGAACGGCCACAUUGGGACUGAGACACGGCCCAA